UAACUACGUGCCAGCAGCCGCGGUAAUACGUAGGGGGCAAGCGUUAUCCGGAAUUACUGGGUGUAAAGGGAGCGUAGGCGGCAUGGUAAGCCAGAUGUGAAAGCCUUGGGCUUAACCCGAGGAUUGCAUUUGGAACUAUCAAGCUAGAGUACAGGAGAGGAAAGCGGAAUUCCUAGUGUAGCGGUGAAAUGCGUAGAUAUUAGGAAGAACACCAGUGGCGAAGGCGGCUUUCUGGACUGAAACUGACGCUGAGGCUCGAAAGCGUGGGGAGCAAACAGGAUUAGAUACCCUGGUAGUCCACGCCGUAAACGAUGAGUGCUAGGUGUCGGGGAGGAAUCCUCGGUGCCGCAGCUAACGCAAUAAGCACUCCACCUGGGGAGUACGACCGCAAGGUUGAAACUCAAAGGAAUUGACGGGGGCCCGCACAAGCGGUGGAGCAUGUGGUUUAAUUCGAAGCAACGCGAAGAACCUUACCAAGGCUUGACAUCCCGAUGACCGUCCUAGAGAUAGGACUUCUCUUCGGAGCAUCGGUGACAGGUGGUGCAUGGUUGUCGUCAGCUCGUGUCGUGAGAUGUUGGGUUAAGUCCCGCAACGAGCGCAACCCUUAUCUUCAGUAGCCAUCAUUCAGUUGGGCACUCUGGAGAGACUGCCGUGGAUAACACGGAGGAAGGUGGGGAUGACGUCAAAUCAUCAUGCCCCUUAUGUCUUGGGCUACACACGUGCUACAAUGGCUGGUAACAAAGUGACGCAAGACGGUGACGUUAAGCAAAUCACAAAAACCCAGUCCCAGUUCGGAUUGUAGUCUGCAACUCGACUACAUGAAGCUGGAAUCGCUAGUAAUCGCGAAUCAGCAUGUCGCGGUGAAUACGUUCCCGGGCCUUGUACACACCGCCCGUCACACCAUGGGAGUUGGAAGCACCCGAAGUCGGUGACCUAACCGUAAGGAAGGAGCCGCCGAAGGUGAAGCCAGUGACUGGGGUGAAGUCGUAACAAGGUAGCCGUAUCGGAAGGUGCGGCUG
rnacentral:rRNA from 1 species